rnacentral:rRNA from 1 species
UACGUAGGGCGCAAGCGUUGUCCGGAAUUAUUGGGCGUAAAGAGCGCGCAGGCGGCUUGGCAAGUCGGGUGUGAAAUCCCGGGGCUCAACCCCGUGACUGCAUCCGAUACUGUCAGGCUAGAGGUAGGUAGGGGAGAUCGGAAUUCCUGGUGUAGCGGUGAAAUGCGCAGAUAUCAGGAGGAACACCGGUGGCGAAGGCGGAUCUCUGGGCCUUACCUGACGCUCAGGCGCGAAAGCUAGGGGAGCGAACAGG